rnacentral:rRNA from 1 species
AUUGAACGCUGGCGGCAGGCCUAACACAUGCAAGUCGAACGAGUGGCGGACGUGUGAGUAACGUCUGUGAAACUGCUCUAUGGCGGGGGAUAACUCCUGGAAACGGUAGCUAAUACCGCAUACCAUCGGAUGUUCCCAGAUGGGAUUAGCUAGUAGGUGGGGUAACGGCUCACCUAGGCGACGAUCCCUAGCUGGUCUGAGAGGAUGACCGGCCACACUGGAACUGAGACACGGUCCAGACUCCUACGGGAGGCAGCAGUGGGGAAUAUUGCGCAAUGGGCGAAAGCCUGAUGCAGCCAUGCCGCGUGUAUGAAGAAGGCCUUCGGGUUGUAAAGUACUUUCAGCGGGGAGGCGUUACCCGAAGAAGAAGCACCGGCUAACUCCGUGCCAGCAGCCGCGGUAAUAC